GGGUGUAAUGUUUUCUGGGAGGUGGGGUCCCCACUGAUCACCAGGGUUGAUUUGGCUGAUCUGACUGGCUAGGCGGGUGUCCCCUUCCUCCCUCACCGCUCCAUGUCUGUCCCUCCCAAAGCUGUGUGCUCGGUGGAAGAGGACAACCAUCCCAGAUAGAAGGAGUGGACCAUUCUUCGGUCAAGGGUUUACGAUAGCUGCGCUCCCCUGCUAGAACCUCCAAACAAGCUCAAGGGAGGGACAACAUUACCCUUCCUACAGUUGUCUGGCACCCCACCCAUGUCCCAUGAUUUCAAGAAAAUAAUGGACUCUCAGUGUUCUGAGAGUUAUUUAGUCCGUUUCU
rnacentral:snRNA from 1 species